CCGCCCUUGCCCGGUCUGGGCUAAGUAAUCUGCUCGGGUUUGCUCUUGGUAGCUUUUGUUCCCUGCAAGCUUUCUGUACUGCUUUGGAGGCGGAGAGUGAAAAUGGCAGCCUCCCAAUCUCCACCCCGGAGUAGCCGAGAACUCCGGGCCCCGGUCCUCAGUGUGCCUCCACAGAAAAGCAGUCAGUCACUCCCGUCUCCCCAGUCUCCAGCCGCACUCCGUGCUCACCCGGCCUGUGACUGCACGUUUCUGUCUCUGGCACCCGACCCCCUGUGGAGUCUCCAAACCCAGCAGAUCCCUGCGGUGCGCUCCCGCGCAGCUCCUCCUGGGGAAGAAGGCUCCUAAAGAGGACAAAACGUCCCUGCAUUUGAUGUAUUCAACAUCUCUCUCUCUCUCUCUCUCCGAUGGAAAACAAAUGUAGAUUGACAUAUAUCUACAUAGUCAUUGACCUAAAGCUUCAUCAGUUUCAAGGAUCUGCCUGGUGCAAGUGCUAAAGAGACCGCAGAUGGAAGCUCACAGAUGGAAGCCUGCUGAUCAUACAGCUGUUUCUUUGUUGGGACUUCCACUGGACAACAUUCUUAACUCCUUGAACUAUUUAAACUGUCUCUGAAUACUCUUACCAGAAGUCACCCUGCUGGCCAUGAACCCAGCUUGCCUGAAAGAGGUAAUGUGACUCUAAGCUUGUGCCGCCAUCCCAGUUUUCCAGGAACGGAGACUUGAGAGCCAAUUAAGGAGGCUACUCACUGAGGGUUGUACCAAAUUUCAUUUCAUGAGUUGCUGUGAGCCUUCUGUGUUCCAAGCCCAGGAUGAGUGAGAGAGACACUGUUCUUAAUCCUCUUGGAACUCAUUGUCUAGUAGGGAAAACAUGUAUAAACUAGUAGAUUAAUUAUUUAGUGAUGGAAGCAAUAGAUGCAAAGUAACAAGUGGUAAGAGAACAUAGAAAAGUGGAACAAGAAAUAGAUAAAGGGGCAGCAAAGGCUCUUCUGGGCAACUGGAGGCUUGCAUACUGAACAGAAUACUGUGGGUUAAGAAGG